rnacentral:tRNA from 1 species
UAAGAUAAAGCCAAAGAGAGCGGCGGGCUUUUGUUAUGAGCCCUAUUGAGACUAUCUAUCUUAU